rnacentral:rRNA from 1 species
CCUACGGGAGGCAGCAGUGAGGAAUAUUGGUCAAUGGACGAGAGUCUGAACCAGCCAAGUAGCGUGAAGGAUGACUGCCCUAUGGGUUGUAAACUUCUUUUAUAUGGGAAUAAAACGUUCCACGUGUGGGAUUUUGUAUGUACCAUAUGAAUAAGGAUCGGCUAACUCCGUGCCAGCAGCCGCGGUAAUACGGAGGAUCCGAGCGUUAUCCGGAUUUAUUGGGUUUAAAGGGAGCGUAGGUGGAUUGUUAAGUCAGUUGUGAAAGUUUGCGGCUCAACCGUAAAAUUGCAGUUGAAACUGGCAGUCUUGAGUACAGUAGAGGUGGGCGGAAUUCGUGGUGUAGCGGUGAAAUGCUUAGAUAUCACGAAGAACUCCGAUUGCGAAGGCAGUUCACUGGACUGCAACUGACACUGAGGCUUGAAAGUGUGGGUAUCAAACAGGAUUAGAUACCCCUGUAGUC